rnacentral:rRNA from 1 species
UACGUAGGGGCCGAGCGUUGUCCGGAGUUAUUGGGCGUAAAGCGCGCGCAGGCGGCCUCGCGCGCCCGACGUGAAAGCCCCCGGCUUAACCGGGGAGGGUCGUUGGGGACGGCGGGGCUUGAGGGCGGGAGAGGGUGGUGGAAUUCCCGGUGUAGUGGUGAAAUGCGCAGAUAUCAGGAGGAACACCAAUGGCGAAGGCAGAUCUCUGGGCCGUAACUGACGCUGAGGAGCGAAAGCAUGGGGAGCGAACAGG